rnacentral:rRNA from 1 species
AGAGCGAACGCUGGCGGCAGGCCUAACACAUGCAAGUCGAGCGCCCGUAGCAAUACGGGAGCGGCAGACGGGAUAGUAACACGUGGGAACGCGCCCUUCGGUUCGGAAUAACUCAGGGAAACUUGAGCUAAUACCGGAUACGCCCUUACGGGGAAAGAUUUAUUGCCGAAGGAACGGCCCGCGUCCGAUUAGCUAGUUGGUGAGGUAAUGGCUCACCAAGGCUACGAUCGGUAGCUGGUCUGAGAGGAUGACCAGCAUCACUGGGACUGAGACACGGCCCAGACUCCUACGGGAGGCAGCAGUGGGGAAUAUGGACAAUGGGCGCAAGCCUGAUCCAGCCAUGCCGCGUGGAUGAUGAAGGCCUUAGGGUUGUAAAGUCCUUUUAACGGGGAGAUAAUGACGGUACCGUAGAAUAAGCCCCGGCUAACUUCGCGCCAGCAGCCGC